rnacentral:lncRNA from 1 species
AAACUAGAAAAUAAAUCGAAACAUUAAAACAGGAGACUGCUGACUGCAUAAUAAAUUCCUACCCUCAAUGAACUUAAAAACAGGGGAGUAAUGCAUAGGAUCACUGUUUAAUGAUAAAAAAAGCUUAAUGAAAAUAGGUAGAUCUUUGACUAAUAUAAGGUGCAUCAACCAUAGGUAGAUCUUUGACUAAUAUCAACACCAUAUAUAUGUCAAUAUCUUAAACUACAAUCAAAAUGAAGUUUCUUCCAGAACAUUUGACCUAAUUAAUUAAAAAAUGAAUACAAUGCAGAUAUAUCAUAUAUACAGAGUUUUGAG